CACAUAUACAUCUGCCCUCACUUUCAGAAUAGUGAAACCUCUAUGAUACUCUGAUUACUUAUCUCCAAGCAUUUGAUACCAGAGUAGUCAUAUGGGGCUGCAUAAAGAACUUAGAAGGGGGUUGUGCUGUGGCAGUUAAUCAUAGUUAAUGUGGUGCCAAGGAAGAAGAGAAAACAUCUUUAUGACUGUAAGUGGAAAAAGGAUGAAUUAAACAGAGCUUGGAAGAGCAGCUGUGUUGCAGGGGAGCCUCAGGCUUUUGGUGUGGUUGCAGGAAAUGGGCUGCAUGCAUCUUGAGGGGUGCCCACAAACACGCUCAGGGCUUUCAGAAAUGUAUUUAGGUCACUGACACUUUGAAAGCUUUAUGCAUUUUGAUCCUAGGGGCUGUAACAAAGGCAUGUAAACUCAAAGUGAAAGCUAGCAUCCAUCCGUGGCUGGUCUUAUUGUAUCCACAGGAAUUUCAGAUCAAUGAAGGAUGUUAGCAAUUAUGUGCUGAAAUAACUAAGUACAAUGGGAUGAGGGUCAGAAGGAGGUGAUGGAUGUCCUUUCCCAGCAGUAGUGGUGCCCUCCUUGGAUUUGUAGAACUGCGUACAAAACACAUUUUCAUUUCAACAUCGCUAAGAGCUCACAUGGCCGAUAGAAAAUGACCCUAAUGUACAACUGUUAUAUUUCCACAAGAAGGAGACUAUGUUCGGGGCAAAGGAUUUUAAUCUUCCAUUGUAAAUGAAGGCACAGAAGUCUUGUAAUCUCUGACACUGUUUUACAGUCAGAACCUGGAAGGCUACCUUCAGAUUAUGGAAGCUGGCAAAAUUCAUAACCUGGCAAAAGGAAAAAUAUUCACAUAACUCUCGGCAAGAACCCAAAUCAAACCAUUCUUUUUAAUUGCAGAAAGAUGAAGCCUCUGGACAAAAUGUGUUCCAAAUAAUAUAAUCUGCACUUCCUGUCACAUAAAGAAAACUCUUCUCAAAAUGCUGACUGGGAGACUCUUCCCCCACCUCUUGCAUCAUGGAUAAUCAAUAUUUGCCUGGAUGAUGCUGAUGAUGGACAAUACGCUGGGUCUGCAAUAACAUUGACUCAAAAUUCCUUGCUCAUUGUGAGAUAACUUCCUAAAGAUUGCGAGCAAAAGGAAGUCAGAGAACAAAGCAAUGUCAAGUAUGCACAUGUCACAACACAAUGCGCUGAUUCCAAGUCUUUGGAAACAUGCUGAAAGACGUCUGGAAAAAAAAAAAAAAAAAAAGAAGAAAAAAAAAAAAAAAGGAAAUGCUUUCACACAGAAUUUCGACAUGAAAACAACAGCUGAAUGUGCCUGUUCCUGCCAGGAAAAAAUACCCUGAAAAAACAAAAGGUGCUGGAAAACUAGAAAUGAAAUCAUCACAUGCUACACAAGAGGAUAUGAGCAGAGAUCAAGCCCAUUGAAAACAAGCCGAGAGGUUGACCAGCCUACUGGGGUGACUGAAAGGCCAGAAAAGAUGCUGCGGGAAGACUUCCAAGCAUCAAUAAAUAUUGAAGUUCUUUCCAACUCAAUGUUUUGAAAUGUCUUAGAAGUUUUAACCAAAAGGCCUUGCUAUGAUCAACUCUAGUAGGGGAAUAAGAGUAAUAUUUCCACAAGAAAUAUUUUAUUUUCAAUGGUACUUUCUCCAAAAACCACCAAUGGAGAAGUGGUGGGAUUUGAUGACAACAUAGACUUUAAAAAUGUAAUAAACUUAUCUAAUGUAAAAGAUGAUUACAGCUUUCAAAGAUAUGUCCACCAACAAGAACUGCUGCAGCCAGAUGUUUUGGUCAAAUUCGAGUACGUCACUGAGAUACUGAGCAAGCUCAAAACAGAACAGCUGAUUGCUUUGAAGAGCCAACACUUGAAAUUACUUAAAGCACUCUUCUACCAAAGAGACAGAAGACAGCUUUCAUAUUCUCGAGUCAUCCUACAAAGUCCUGCGUGAAAUAGACUACUGCAGCCUACAGGCAUCAUAGAAAUAUUUCAGUCAAGACCACAAGUUCCACUCUUGCCCCUAUGCUUAUGCUAAUGUGCACGAUCUCUUUGAUGAACAGCAGCAAGGAGACUGGAUAGCUUGAGGUGUAAUUGAUGGGAUGCUGAAGGUCUGGCUGUUGUUUUGGUGGUUAUUUUUAUAGAUUAUAAAGGAACUGACCAUGCAGUGCUACCUCAACUUGUGGCUGAAUCUAACAGCUUCAUGGACUCAGCCCUCCAUUUAGCCCAUUUGGUCAAAUUAGGCUGGUGGUAACUGAAAGCUGUGACCAGCUGAUGGCUAUGUUGAAUGAUAGCUUGUGGAAAUCUCCUUAGUGGACUCAGACCAAAUUUUACUGACAGAAUCUCACUAUCUCCAAGCAAAUUCCUCCAAAAUAAAUGCUAACUCGAGGCUCAGGGGCAACCACAGGUUUAAAGACAAGGAGGGUGAACUUGUGUCUUCUCUAGAAGUAUUGUCUGUAAGCCAGCAAUGAAGUGAAAAAAAGGCACAUUUGUGUCAGCACCACCCAGGCUGUCAAUAAAGAACUCCUGCCCUCAGAACUAUCAAAUCAAAUUCAUAUGAAUUUCCCACUCUUCCAAAACCACUUUCCCACAGGGAAGAAGGGAUCACAAAAUUAAACAGCAUUCCCUUCUUCUCACAUCUUUGUAAUCUGCAAGCACUGUGCCUGUCACAGUGCUCCCAGGAGGUUUCCUUAACCAUAAUGUCUCAUCUCUGCAAACAGCUGUUUCCCUUUUGCACAAGAGUUCUUGGAGAUAUGCUUCACUUAUCAGAACUAUACCACUGAAAAGCUGGUAAAUAACCAAGUUCUGUUGGAAAGAUGAAAUCGCACUGCAGAUAGAUGGAUUUGCUUAACCUAUAAAAUAAUUCUGAGAUAGCUAUUGUUUUGGCAAAAUUCUAAAAUGUAACAAAGUUUGAUUGUUCUUGGCUUCUCCUAAUUUGCUUACUUUGGGGUAAUAGCUGGCCUUCAAUAUGCAUGUUAGUCUCGUUACUGUUAAGUUAAAUAUAUACACACAUAUCUAAGAGAGGUUUGACCAUUUACUGUCAGUGUUCCAAGGUUAGCUGAAGUCUGGACCUAUUACUUUCUCUGUGCUCCACUAAUUGAGACCAAGGCUUAUGCAAGACUUCCUUGGGGAUCACAGGGUCUGAGGUUUUUAUAGUCCACAAGGCUAAAAUUCAAAUAUGAACCACAGCUGUUUGGAUGGAAGUCCUGGACCUCAUCCUUUUGAACUAUAGUGACCUGCUCAGCCUUGCCAUCAUGUGAAACUCAGAAAUCCCUGCACAGAUGAUGACUGGGAUGUGAAAAUUGCCUGCCAAGCAGACCUGGGUAAAGUGAUUGGUUUACAGUGCUCUGGGAUUUGCAGGUGGAAGGACUGCUCUCUCACUCUCCUCUGCUACCCUCUUCCCUUCCAUUUCUGUACAUAUCAUUCUUUUAUAUAUAUAUAUAUAUAUAUAUGCAGAUUUGAUUCCACAUUCACCACCCAAACAGCUGAAUUGAUGUUCCUAUUGAAGAUGGUGAAGUUCCUCCCUUCUGCCAAGUACAGUUAUUUUUAUGAGUCCCCAGUAAGAGGUAAAGUAAGAGAAACAGGGUGUGGGAUAAACUAGUUAAUCUAUUUAAAUAGGGAUAGACCUCUAGCGCCCUAACACUUAAAUACUUUGUCUUCACUCGGCUGUGCUAUAUUUUAACUGGGGACUACAACCAGGACAAACAAGCGUGGCCUUUUCCUACUGUGGAUUGUCAUGCGAAAAUACUUGUGAAGGGGUGGAGUAAACAUUUUUGGGGAUCACACUGCAAGAGGAGAUAUAUGGGAACUCACUGUGAUGCAAAAGGAAAUCAUGUGUUACUCCACAGAUGAUGUGAUUGGCAUUGUGAGCUCAGAUGCGUAAAGACUAUCGAGGCAAAAAAAUCAAGAUUGAAGCAGAAUGAAAUACUCCUUUCUUCGGUAAGUCAGUGGGAGUCAUAAAUACUUCUGCAUCAGCUAGGAAAGCUACAAAAAACUAAAUCACAACUCUAUUUUCAUGCUGAUGCAUGCACUUUAAAGUAAUAUAUAUAAAAAUGCCUUCCUUUUGGCAUAACUGCAAUUACAUAAAUAUUUAGAUUUAUACUAAUAAGUAAUUUUGCAGAAGUUUAAAAUGAUAGGCUGCGUGAUAGCUAUUUAAGGGGAUGGGCAGCCCACCUUCCAGUGGCCACAGUGACUUCCAUCAAGUCGUAAUUGCAGGAGAGGGUGCUUCUGGAAAUUAAUGGUGAAUCUUAUAUUCCCUUGCAUUUAGAAUCCAAAUCUAUUAUUUCAUUACUACUGUUAAUUAUAUAACAAUCAUAUAAUAAUUAUAAAAAUAAUUAUAUAAUAACUAUGUCUGAAUAAAUAAUAAGCAUUUUCAAUAUUAAUGACUGCCUAGCAAGCAAGGCAAAGCAGAUCUUAAUCUGGUUUGAGUUUCUAUCCUUACACAUUCAUUUUACUCUUGCAAAGCAUAUUAAAUACUAUGGAAUGUAUAAAAAAGGCCACAAUUUCUUCUCUAUUGGUAUACUGAAAGUCUUUGUGUGUCCAAGGUAAUAGGAAUUCCCACAUUCGUGCUUACUGUAAAAUACAGCAAGCAAAAGCUAGAUAAAUUCUGUUUAAUAUGGAAAUAAUUUUGGCUGCAUCUUUGGCUUUGUAUGACAUGGAAACUGGUGAUUGUUUAUGCUUUCCUACUUUUUUUGGUCUGCAUUAAAAUCCCACAUGAGAAACAAAUUUUUCUCUAGGAACAAAAUGUUACUUUUUUGGGACUGAGUUCUAAUAAGCUGGGUAGUACGUCUGCUUCUUUUCAGCUGGGAAAUUGCAAUGCAUAUAAAAUCCAGAUGGAUAACACAUGAGGCUGGAAGCAGCCUUGGCCAAUCAGCCACGUCACUUGAUUAAAAGAAACCUAUAAUAAUUUAAGUAAAAAUAGUACCCUAACAAAGUAACAGAGCAACAAACUGGCUGCAGCAUGCGAUUUCAUCACAGUUCCAAUAUUGCUUUACUUUUGCUGGUUGGUCCUUUCAUAUCUUAUUGUAAAUUAACCUAUUUGCAUUAAGCGUGCAUGGAACUUGUGAUUAAAGCCCCAAAAUGUCAGUGAUGGAAGAUACAUGAUAAGCAGGAUGAGGGGGGAAAUCCAUCACCAGACUACAGAAGGCCACAAGAACCUAUUGCUCUUAGGGCAGUGGUGCACUUGAAGAACUCAGCUGAGAGUUUUGCCAUGAGGAAUCACCUACCCUGGCACGUGCCACACUAGUGCAGACCAGUACUUUUUGUAUGGAUUUUGUCUGUGACUGUCAGAAAGCAAGUAAGUGCAUCAAUGCAAUUACAAGGUCACUCUGCGGAAAAACUCCUGAGUAUCCCGCGAGAUGCAGCAGAUUUGUGGGUGAGACUGUCUAAGGCAGCCUGUGAAGAAGUCACAGACAGGACUUGCAGAGGGAUGGAGCCACAUCUGGAAUCCCUGUGGGCAAUUGAAGGAAUGUUUAUUAUUCUUUGUUUAUUAUUUUGAGUGUGUACUCUCCCUCUUCCUUUCUUUGUCUCUCUUUGUUAUUUGUGUAAUAAAAUUCCUCUAGGCAUACAAAGUAAGUAAGUCAUCUGGAAUUGUGCAGUUCCCUCUGCCAGGAAGCUGGAAAAGCCUCUCGUGCAGAGACAAAAGUAUGGGCUCAUCUCAAACACUGAGAAAUUACAGAAAUAUUCACCAUUUGCCUUUGAGUUAUAUUUACAUAGGAAAGAACUGUGGCAAAUACGUGUGCUUCUUGCUGUUAAAAAAAAUUGGCUUUUAUCCUGCCCAAGGUGUUGUGUUUAUUUAAAAGUUGUUGAGAAAUAAUUUGUACAUUCUAAAAUAAAGCAUGCAAAAUACAUUAAAAGGGCCCAGUGACAAAGUUGUUUUUUUUUUUUUUGCCAGUGGGUGUGGAGAAGGAAAAGGAAAUGAGUAAGUAGAGAGGAGCGUCUUUAUGGCCACAUGGCUAGUGAAAAUUUCUAUUUAUUCUUUGGGGAAAAAGCAAAGUAGCUGCAUAGUUGCUGGUUGGAUAGGUGCCGGGACUAUUUUUAUUGGCAGGCAGCUCUGAGUGGCUGAAAGGCGGUCAUUAACACUCUGACACAAAGUGCUGACAGGGCGAUUAUAAGAUUAACACCCUAUGUUAUAUUAACAGUGUCAAAACCUCCCCGUACCUGUCAGUGAGAAAUAAUGGCACGAAGGAAAACAUUAUAGACAUGCUGAGACUUUAGCAUUGAAAUACCAUGCAGCUAUUCACUUUUUGAAAUUGAUCUAAAUAUCUAGAUGACCUACUGAAGGCUCAUAAAAUAAUGUGAUUUAAAUGGCAGCUUCACCAAAUCAAAAAAUGAAUGCAAAAGUUAAGCCGCCCAGCUUACUUACUCUCUUGUUGACACUUUUAGCCCUGAUCUCCCUGGCAGUGGGUCUCUCACAACUGCUGCCUUUCAGUAGAGUUAUGGUUUGAGAUCUCAUAAAUUUAGGAUUUGACCUUAGGACUUUUGACAAAAACAGAGCUUUUCUGGAGAAUAUUAUUACUGGUCAAAAUUCAACCUCGGUCUUUCUCCAGGACUGCUAGUCAUCAUAGACUGGUUUUAUCAGUGAGAGCCUUUGGACCAUAAGGACCAAUCUGCAUUUAAAAUGUCUCUGCUCCACGUUCAUUAGAACUGGAAUAGCAAACCCUCUGGCAUAGCUGUCCUGGAGAAUAUCCAAAGAAUGGCAACGAAACCAGUGAAGUUUCUGGAUCACAAGUCUUAUGGAGAGCAACUGAGGGAAAUGAGAUUGGUCAUUCUGGAGAAGGUGAGGUUCGGGGAAGACCUUAUCACACUCUACAGCUGCCUAAAAGGAGGUUGUGGUGAGAUGAGGGCUCUUCUCCCAGGUUUCAGUGAUAGGAUGAGAGAUGAUGACCUUAAAUUGCACCAGGGGAGGUUCAAGUUGGAUAUUAGGGAAAAUUUCUUCUCAGGAGUGGUGAUGCACUGGCACAGGCUGCUCAGGGAGGCGGUAGAGUCACUGUCCCUGGAGGUGUUCAAGAAAAGGGUGGGUGUGACACUGAGGGACAUAAUCUAGAGCAGUCGUGGCCGUGGCUUGAUGGUUGGACUAGAUGAUCGUAGUGGUCUUUUCAACCUUGAUGAUUCUAUGAUAGCUUCAGCUAGACUGCCUUAUGCUGCCUUAAGUUCUGCCAGUUUUGAUUAAGAGGAUAAGCCAGGACAAAAAAAGUUCUUCCUGUAAGACUAAAUCUGUACCUUCACUAGUAAAAAAUAUUGUUCAAGUGUUGCCAGGCAAAGCAUUAUUUCUGUAUUUUUAUUAUUAUAUUUUAUGUUGUAUAUGAUGAUAAUACAGUCUAUAUAUUUUUGUCUGUAAGACUGAUAAAUAAAAUGCAAAUUAAAUAUUCUUCUAAUACUUUGGUUUCUAACCAAAUAAAGACAUGGUCAAAUCACCCCACGUGCCAGGAAAUGCUUCUGAGUUGCAUAAGAAAGGUUUGAUAGUUUUAAGUAAGUGGGAUCUGGGGGGUUUACAGAAUGUUGCAAUGCCAUCAUACCUUAU
rnacentral:lncRNA from 1 species